GCUGGGCAUGGUGGCUCAUGCCUGUAAUCCCAGCACUUUGGAAGGCUGAGGCAGGAGGAUCACCUGAGGUCAGGAGUUCGAGAGCAGUCUGGCCAACAUGGCGAAACCUCAUCUCUACUAAAAAUACAAAAAUUAGCUGGGUGUGGUGGCAGAUGCCUGUAAUCCCAGCUACUCAGGAGGUUGAGGCAGGAGAAUCGCUUGAAUCCAGGAGGUGGAGGUUGCAGUGAGCCGAGAUCUUGCCACUGCACUCCAGCCUGGGCAACAGAGAGAGACUCUGUCUCA
rnacentral:sRNA from 1 species